rnacentral:rRNA from 1 species
GACGAACGCUGGCGGCGUGCUUAACACAUGCAAGUCGAACGAUGAAGCCGGAGCUUGCUCCGGUGGAUUAGUGGCGAACGGGUGAGUAACACGUGAGCAAUCUGCCCUUGACUCUGGGAUAACUGCGGGAAACUGUAGCCAAUACCGGAUACGACACCUUGGGGCAUCCCAGGGUGUGGAAAGAAUUUCGGUCAAGGAUGAGCUCGCGGCCUAUCAGCUAGUUGGUGAGGUAAUGGCUCACCAAGGCGACGACGGGUAGCCGGCCUGAGAGGGUGACCGGCCACACUGGAACUGAGACACGGUCCAGACUCCUACGGGAGGCAGCAGUGGGGAAUAUUGCACAAUGGGCGAAAGCCUGAUGCAGCAACGCCGCGUGAGGGAUGAAGGCCUUCGGGUUGUAAACCUCUUUUAGCAGGGAAGAAGCGAAAGUGACGGUACCUGCAGAAAAAGCACCGGCUAACUACGUGCCAGCAGCCGCGGUAA